CAUCGGCCUUAUCGAUCUCUAGAUCAAUUUGUUAUGCAAAUUUAGGAUGUUUUAUACGCAAUAUGUUCUCAGUAGUAGCUUAAAUUUGAACUUCUGAUUACUUAGUGACAAUAAAUGGAUAAUUGUAUGUUAUUUUCAACAAAAUUUUAUAACUUUUUUGUUUUAUGAUAGCUUUUUAUUAACGAUACCCACAGAGAUCAAAAUCUGCGAGUUCCAGAUAUAAUAUUGCACCAUGGAUCUCAUUAAGGAUAUACAUAGUCAAAUAUCAUGGACAUUAUAAAGGUUGAGUCUUUAUAUCCUGUUUGCCAGAGUUUGAGAUUCUCCGUUGAAUCUAUUAGACUGUCAAAUAAUUUUUUAGAGAGAAAUAAUUCUCCACUAAUUCUAUAAAGUGAUUUUCUAUUGUGUUUCUAAGGGCUUGUUUAGUUCGCGAAUAGAUUUUUUUUGGAUAUACUAUAGCAAUUAAUGUCCAAUCAUGAACUGUGUAAUUAGUUAUUUUUUGACAGUCUAAUGUAUAUAUUAUAGCAAUUAAUGUCCAAUCAUGAACUUGUUUAGUUUGUGAAAAGAUUUUUUUUUGUAAAUAUUUAUUUUUUUAAUUUAUAUUUAAUAUUUCAUAUAUUCAAAUAUUUGUGACGAGACAAAAAGUUUUUGAAUGAGGCCUUGUUUAGUUUACCCCAAAAAACAAAAAACUUUUCAAGAUUCUUCGUCACAUCGAAUCUUAGGGCACAUGCAUGAAGCACUAAACAUAGAUGAAAAUAAAAAUUAAUUGUACAAUUUACUUGUAAAUCGCG
rnacentral:lncRNA from 1 species